rnacentral:rRNA from 1 species
CUAAUGCAUGCAGUCGAACGAGAUCCUGGAUUCGUUUAGGUGAGAGUGGCGAACGGGUGAUGUACACGUAGGUUACUGCCCCGGAGAGGGGGAUAACUGCUGGAAACGGUGGCUAAUACCCCAGAUGUCGUUGGAUUUAGAAACUAAACGUCUGAAGCUCCGGCGCUCCGGGAGGGGCCUGCGGCCAUCAGCUAUUUGUAGGUAAUGGCCUACCAGGCGAAGACGGUAGGGGGCGUGAGAGCGUGACCCCCCACACUGGUACUGAGACACGGACCAAUACCUGCGGGUAGCAGCAGCAAGGAAUAUUGCCCAAUGGAGGAAACUCUGAGGCAGCAACACCGCGUGGAGGAUGAAGCCUUCGGGUUGUAAACUCCUUUUCUGGGGGAUGAGAAAGGACAGUACCCCAGAAUAAGUCUCGGCUAACUACGUGCCACAGCCGCGGUAAAACGUAGAGCAAGCGUUAUCCGGAUUUACUGGGCGUAAGCGCAUGCGGCGACCUUAAUCGGACGUGAAGCUCCCGGCUCAACUGGGAGAGGCCGUUCGAAACUAGGCUCUUGAGGAUUGUAGAGGAGAGUGGAAUCCCGGUUUAUGGUAAAUGCGUAAUAUCGGAAGGAACACCAGUGGCGGAGGCGCUCUCUGGGCCAUUCCUGACGCUCAGAUGCGAAGCUAGGGGAGAGACGGAUUAGAAACCCCGGUAUUCCUAGCCGUUAACGAUGUCAAACUAGGCGUAGGAGGUCAUUGACCCCUUCUGUGGCUGUAGCUAACGCGUUAAGUUGAACCGCCUGGGGACUACGGCCGCAAGGCUAAAACUCAAAGGAAUUGACGGGGACCCGCACAAGCAGCGGAGCGUGUGGUUUAAUUCGAGGCUACGCGAAGAACCUUACCAGGGCUUGACAUAUGCGUGGUAGUGAAACGAAAGUGGAACGGCCCUUCGGGGAGCGCAUACAGGUGCUGCAUGGCUGUCGUCAGCUCGUGCCGUGAGGUGUUAGGUUAAGUCCUGUAACGAGCGCAACCCUCGUCGCUAGUUACAUGUGUCUAGCGAGACUGCCGGUGAUAAGCCGGAGGAAGGUGAGGAUGACGUCAAGUCAGCAUGGCCUUUAUGUCCUGGGCUACACACACGCUACAAUGGCCGGUACAAUGGGCAGCCAAGCCGCGAGGCGGAGCCAAUCCUUCAAAGCCGGUCUCAGUUCGGAUUGCAGGCUGCAACUCGCCUGCAUGAAGUCGGAGUUGCUAGUAAACGCGCGUCAGCAACAGUGCGUUGAAUACGUUCCCGGGUCUUGUACACACCGCCCGUCACGUCAUGGAAGUUGGCAACGCCUGAAGUCGGUGAGCUAACCCGCAAGGGAGGCAGCCGCCUAAGGCGGGGUCGGUAACUGGGACGAAGUCGUACAAGGUAGCUGUAGCGGAAGCUGCGGCUGGAUCACCUCCUU